rfam:Fusarium oxysporum f. sp. raphani 54005 unplaced genomic scaffold supercont1.78, whole genome shotgun sequence.
GGGCGUGUGGUCUAGGGGUAUGAUGUUCGCUUCGCAUCUUCGUGCAUCUGCGAAAGGUCGAGGGUUCAAUUCCCUCCUCGUCCA